rnacentral:rRNA from 1 species
GGGCCCGCACAAGCGGAGGAACAUGUGGUUUAAUUCGAUGAUACGCGAGGAACCUUACCCGGGUUUGAACGCAUUUCGACCGUCUGGGAAACCAGAUUUCUAGCAAUAGCGAUUUGCGAGGUGCUGCAUGGUUGUCGUCAGCUCGUGCCGUGAGGUGUCGGCUUAAGUGCCAUAACGAGCGCAACCCUUACCGUUAGUUACCAUCAAGUAGUGUUGGGGACUCUAGCGGGACUGCCAGCGUAAGCUGUGAGGAAGGUGGGGAUGACGUCAAAUCAGCACGGCCCUUACAUCCGGGGCGACACACGUGUUACAAUGGAUGGGACAGAGGGCAGCCACUUGGUGACAAGGAGCGAAUCCCCUUAAACCCAUUCUCAGUUCGGAUCGAAGUCUGCAACCCGACUUCGUGAAGCUGGAUUCGCUAGUAAUCGCGCAUCAGCCAUGGCG